rnacentral:rRNA from 1 species
GGACUACCCGGGUAUCUAAUCCUGUUUGCUCCCCACGCUCUCGCGCCUCAGUGUCAGUAUUAAUCCAGGUAGCCGCCUUCGCCACUGGUGUUCCUUCCGAUAUCUACGCAUUUCACCGCUACACCGGAAAUUCCACUACCCUCUAUCAUACUCCAGCUCAACAGUCUUAGAUGCAGUUCCUAGGUUAAGCCCAGGGAUUUCACAUCUAACUUAUCAAACCACCUACGCGCCCUUUACGCCCAGUAAUUCCGAUUAACGCUUGCACCCUCUGUAUUACCGCGGCUGCUGGCAC